GACGAACGCUGGCGGCGUGCUUAACACAUGCAAGUCGAACGGAAAGGCCCUGCUUUUGUGGGGUGCUCGAGGGGCGAACGGGUGAGUAACACGUGAGUAACCUGCCCUUGACUUUGGGAUAACUUCAGGAAACGGGGGCUAAUACCGGAUAGGAGCUCCUGCUGCAUGGUGGGGGUUGGAAAGUUUCGGCGGGUGGGGAUGGACUGGCGGCUUAUCAGCUUGUUGGUGGGGUAGUGGCUUACCAAGGCUUUGACGGGUAGCCGGCCGGAGAGGGUGACCGGCCACAUUGGUACUGCGGUACGGCCCAGACUCCUACGGGAGGCAGCAGUGGGGAAUCUUGCCCAAUGGGCGCAAGCCGGAUGCAGCAACGCCGCGUGCGGGAUGACGGCCUGCGGGUUGUAAACCGCUUUCGCCUGUGACGAAGCGUGAGUGACGGUAAUGAGUAAAGAAGCACCGGCUAACUACGUG
rnacentral:rRNA from 1 species